rnacentral:rRNA from 1 species
GUGGGGAAUAUUCCGCAAUGGACGAAAGUCUGACGGAGCAACGCCGCGUGAGUGAUGAAGGUUUUCGGACUGUAAAGCUCUGUUGUUUGGGACGAAAGUGCCUGUUGCGAACAGUUACGGGUAUUGACGGUACUAAACGAGGAAGCCACGGCUAACUACGUGCCAGCAGCCGCGGUAAUACGUAGGUGGCAAGCGUUGUCCGGAAUUAUUGGGCGUAAAGAGCAUGUAGGCGGGAAUCUAAGUCUGUUGUGAAAAUGCGGGGCUCAACCCCGUAUUGCGAUGGAAACUGGGUUUCUUGAGUGCAGGAGAGGAAAGGGGAAUUCCCAGUGUAGCGGUGAAAUGCGUAGAUAUUGGGAGGAACACCAGUGGCGAAGGCGCCUUUCUGGACUGUGUCUGACGCUGAGAUGCGAAAGCCAGGGUAGCGAACGGGAUUAGAAACCCUUGUAGUCC